rnacentral:rRNA from 1 species
GAUGAACGCUGGCGGCGUGCCUAAUACAUGCAAGUCGAGCGAACAGACGAGGAGCUUGCUCCCCUGACGUUAGCGGCGGACGGGUGAGUAACACGUGGAUAACCUACCUAUAAGACUGGGAUAACUUCGGGAAACCGGAGCUAAUACCGGAUAAUAUAUUGAACCGCAUGGUUCAAUAGUGAAAGACGGUUUUGCUGUCACUUAUAGAUGGAUCCGCGCCGCAUUAGCUAGUUGGUAAGGUAACGGCUUACCAAGGCAACGAUGCGUAGCCGACCUGAGAGGGUGAUCGGCCACACUGGAACCGAGACACGGUCCAGACUCCUACGGGAGGCAGCAGUAGGGAAUCUUCCGCAAUGGGCGAAAGCCUGACGGAGCAACGCCGCGUGAGUGAUGAAGGUCUUCGGAUCGUAAAACUCUGUUAUUAGGGAAGAACAAAUGUGUAAGUAACUAUGCACGUCUUGACGGUACCUAAUCAGAAAGCCACGGCUAACUACGUG